UACAGAGGUCUCAAGCGUUGUUCGGAUUCAUUGGGCGUAAAGGGUGUGUAGGUGGCGCCGUAAGUCGGGUGUGAAAUUUCGGAGCUUAACUCCGAAACUGCAUUUGAUACUGCGGUGCUUGAGGACUGGAGAGGAGACUGGAAUUCAUGGUGUAGCAGUGAAAUGCGUAGAGAUCAUGAGGAAGACCAGUGGCGAAGGCGGGUCUCUGGACAGUUCCUGACACUGAGACACGAAGGCCAGGGGAGCAAACGGG
rnacentral:rRNA from 1 species